rnacentral:rRNA from 1 species
ACUUUGAUUAUGGCUCGGGACGAACGCUGGCGGCGCGCCUAACACAUGCAAGUCGAGCGGGAAGCUUUUUAAGGAUUCUUCGGAUGAAUUAAAAAGUGGAGAGCGGCGGACGGGUGAGUAACGCGUGAGAAACCUGCCCUAUACAGGGGGGAUAGCCAUUGGAAACGAUGAUUAAUACCCCAUAUGACCACAGUAUCGCAUGAUACAGCGGUGAAAACUCCGGUGGUAUAGGAUGGUCUCGCGUCUGAUUAGCUUGUUGGUGGGGUAACGGCCUACCAAGGCGACGAUCAGUAGCCGGCCUGAGAGGGUGACCGGCCACACUGGAACUGAGACACGGUCCAGACUCCUACGGGAGGCAGCAGUGGGGAAUAUUGCACAAUGGGCGAAAGCCUGAUGCAGCGACGCCGCGUGAACGAUGAAGGCUUUCGAGUCGUAAAGUUCUGUCCUUGGGGAAGAUAACGACGGUACCCAAGGAGAAAGCACCGGCUAAAUACGUGCCAGCAGCCGCGGUA